AACGAAUUAGAAGUUGCUUUUGUAAUUAGAAUUGUUUACAUACUUCUCUUGUACUGUUAUUGAUCUGACAAGCGACCAUUACGCUCUCUUCCUAUCUGCACUUCCUGUACUUCGACUAUUCAGACGUCAAACGAAGAAGACACGAAAGAAAGGAGACAGAGAGAUGAGAUUAAAGUACGUAAAAACGAACACACGUGGACGCACUUUAAAGCGAUAAGAGCAGAAAUAAGUACAGAUUUUGUUGGAAGAGGAUUUCAAACGAUUUCAUUCGGAACGAGUCUGCGACAAAAGACAAACAAUGGCGGAUAAUAUUAAGAAGAUCGUGAAAGAUGUUUACUACGAUCCGUUUAAAUGGUCAGUAGUAAAAAACAUUGCCUUUUUGUAAUUGGUGUCAAGAUUGCCAUCGAAUGCAAUGGGAUGACUCUUAUGCCACCAGUCUCUGUUUAAGACUACUCUUAUGUAGAAGAUCCGAAAAAGAAUUGUUCAAAUAACCCAAAUACUUUAAUAUCGUGUCACCAUAUCUUAUAAAUCCAUUGCAGUUUCAUCGCAACACAAUUCAACUUUAUUUACAUUUAUAAAUAUAUAAUUGUAUUUAGAAAACGA